rnacentral:sRNA from 2 species
GCGCGGCCUCCGCCGAAUCCGGUGCGCCGCUCGCGGCAGCCGGAACCGGGGACCCACCGAGAACCUGGGGUGAAUCGGCCCAACCGCCCGUCGGGGCAAGGGCCGUAGGGCACACCUUCCGGAACCACCCGCCCGAACCCGACAGCUAACCCGGUAGGCGGAGUACGGAAGGAGU